rnacentral:rRNA from 1 species
UAGGGAAUCUUCGGCAAUGGGGGCAACCCUGACCGAGCAACGCCGCGUGAGUGAAGAAGGUUUUCGGAUCGUAAAGCUCUGUUGUAAGUCAAGAACGGGUGUGAGAGUGGAAAGUUCACACUGUGACGGUAGCUUACCAGAAAGGGACGGCUAACUACGUGCCAGCAGCCGCGGUAAUACGUAGGUCCCGAGCGUUGUCCGGAUUUAUUGGGCGUAAA